rnacentral:rRNA from 1 species
CUCCAUGAAGCUGGAUUCGCUAGUAAUCGCGCAUCAGCCACGGCGCGGUGAAUACGUUCCCGGGCCUUGUACACACCGCCCGUCAAGCCAUGGAAGCCGGGGGUGCCUGAAGUGCGCUGCCGCAAGGAGCGCCCUAGGGUAAAACCGGUGACUGGGGCUAAGUCGUAACAAGGUAAC